rnacentral:rRNA from 1 species
AACGAACGCUGGCGGCAUGCCUAACACAUGCAAGUCGAACGAGACCUUCGGGUCUAGUGGCGCACGGGUGCGUAACGCGUUGGAACCUGCCCUUAGGUUCGGAAUAACUCCCCGAAAGGGGUGCUAAUACCGGAUAAUGUCUUCGGACCAAAGAUUUAUCGCCUUUGGAUGGGCCCGCGUUGUAUUAGCUAGUUGGUAGGGUAAAAGCCUACCAAGGCGACGAUCCAUAGCUGGUCUGAGAGGAUGAGCAGCCACACUGGGACUGAGACACGGCCCAGACUCUUACGGGAGGGAGGAGUGGGGAAUAUUGGAAAAUGGGCGAAAGGCUGAUCCAGCAAUGCUGCGUGAGUGAUGAAGGCAUUAGGGUUGUAAAGCUCUUUUACACGGGAUGAUAAUGACAGUACCGGGAGAAUAAGCUCCGGCUAACUCCGUG